rnacentral:rRNA from 1 species
UACGUAGGGUGCGAGCGUUAAUCGGAAUUACUGGGCGUAAAGGGCGCGUAGGCGGCAGGCCAAGUCGGGAGUGAAAGCCCGGGGCUCAACCCCGGAAUGUCUUUCGAAACUGGCCAGCUGGAGUGCGGAAGAGGCAACUGGAAUUCCCAGUGUAGCGGUGAAAUGCGUAGAUAUUGGGAAGAACACCUGAGGCGAAGGCGGGUUGCUGGGCCGACACUGACGCUGAGGCGCGAAAGCCAGGGGAGCAAACGGG